rnacentral:piRNA from 1 species
UCCCCUGCGUCUAUAAGGGUGCUCACCUA